rnacentral:misc_RNA from 1 species
GUAGGUGAACCUGCGGAAGGAUCAUUAACACGAUACUUAUCUAUUUAUUCACUCACCGCGAACUUUUCCCCUCCCUAGCAGUAUCUCUAUUGUACCAAUAUAUACUAUUAGGCUACCGUACUUAAUGUAUUAUUUUUAUAAUACCAUUAUUUAUUUAUUUAUUUUUACCCCAUUCAAUAACUUUUUGUUCUCUGCUCUGUCCUGUUCACACAGGAUGCCAGCGAUCAAAACACACACUAAAAAACCAUAUUAUCUUUGAAAAAGGAUUAUGUUUUUUUUCUAUUACGAAAUGAUAGGAAGUUUAUAAAACAACUCUUAGCAAUGGAUAUCUUGGUUCUC